rnacentral:lncRNA from 1 species
AUGGCAAGCCAGACCGCCGAGAGCCAUCCUCAUUACCUCGCCGCCGCGCUCGCUCCCGCCGGGUCCGGCGCCCCCCCCCCCCCCCCAUCCGAGCGGCCAGGAGACUCGGCUCCCUCCGCACCAGCAGAGCGUCCCCCUGAGGCUUUAGGGGGCGCCAGCGGCCUUUCCACUCCCCAGUGCGCUCCGAGGUCGGGGUCCUGUGCCUCCAAAAGGAGCGAGCUCCCGAGUUUAAGGCGCGCCACCGCGCGUUCGGGCAGGUGGGCGCGGGGCAGGCCCAGGGUCCGAGCGGAGCCGGACAGAAGCGCCGAGAUUCGGGGACGACCCGCUCUCCCGAGCCGGGCUGCCGAGGCAGAGGGCUCAGAGUUCGGGGGUCGAGAAAAAAGAAGCUGGGAGCGGGGGAAGCAACAGGAAAAUAGGAGGAAGGGGAGGCAAAAAAGAAAGCGCCGGGAAGCAGAGCUCCCUGGGGGCCCAGCCCGCAACACCUGGGCGGGGGGUCGGGAACAAAGCAGCGGCUUCAGGUCAGACGCGCUCCGGGUGCUUCCGAAGAGGGGGCGCUCGGGGGAGGCCCGGGACGGCGGGGGAUGCCCCGCGCCCCUGCGCCCCGGGGCGCGCUCUCGGGCGCCUCUUACCUUCGCCGGGGCCGCCGGGGCCGCGGCGCGCACUUCCGGGGGCUGCGCUCGGGGCGCGCGGGGCCGAGCUGGGGGACCCGAGCGACCUCCGAGGGGAGGAGGCGGCGAGGAGGCGGCGAGGAGGCGCCCGGGGCUCGGGCCGGCUCGGACGCCUCGGAGGGGAUCCCGGCGGGGGGCCGCCAGGGCGGGCGCGGGGCGCGGGGCGCGGGGCGCUGGGCGCUGGGUGCUGGGUGCUGGGUGCUGGGUGCUGGCCUCAGCGCUCGCGGGCGGCCGCUCGGAGCCCCGCAGACGCCGGAGGAGCCCGAGUCAGCGGGAGGAAAAGGUUGUCUCAUUUCCUUCGGUCUCCCCCCGCCUCCCCCCGCUCGGCUCCGGACCUGCCCUCCCUCUCCCCCGCCCCCUUCCCCAAGCCCGCUGCCCCCGUGGGCGCUGGAGAGACGCGGAUCCUGAAGGGCUGCGGCUUGCGGCGCCUCCGCCUCCUCCACGCCGAGUCGGCUCGCGCUCCCCAAGUCCCCUGCCGGCCGGCCGGCCCUCUGCAGCGCCCCGGAAGGCUCCCACCAGCCGUCUCCACCCUGUCCCGGAGCUCUAG